GGAGUUGUGGCUCAGUGGUAGAGUGCUUGCCUAGCAUGCAUGAGGCGCUGGGUUCCAACCUCAGCUCCA
rfam:Ictidomys tridecemlineatus contig090855, whole genome shotgun sequence.